ACUGUUGUCAUACUGAUAGGGAAGGCAUGUCAAAAGACAGUCCUCGAGGGCCAAUGUCCUGCAGGUUUUAGAGGUUGCUCUGCUUCUGACAAUUGCAAUUCAGCAAACGCCUGUUGAUCAGCUAUCAAUGAAAAUCAGCAGUGCUAAAGCAGGGUAACCUCUAAAACCUGCAGGACAGCAGCUCUGGAGGACAGACUUUGGACAUGCCUGAGAUACCAGAGUAAUAUAAAAGGGCAAACAAAUGUCAGACUCCCAAACGAAGAUGACAGAGCAUUGGAGAGGAGAGUUAGGUUAUAAUGCUGAACUGCUGAGGGAUGUAUGUAGAACACCUACAGAGCCACACCUGCCAAAUCACAACCUACAGAGAGGAAGAGCAAUGAAACAGCCUAGAUCUGCACAGCACUAGUGGAUAUGACCAUUUUAAUCUUUAAUCUGAUGAAUCAUUAUGACUCAUAAUCUAACUUAGUUUCUGAUCAUAUGAGGUUACCAAAUAGAUUAAAGAUAAAAGAAACAUAACAGGAAGAGGACAUUUAAAAAUUAAGAGAUAAGAGAAGACAAGUCCAUCAGGCAGUGAACAGACGGAGUCCACCUAGACAUGGACCUAUACAUAGUGAUAGUACUGCUGCUUCUGCCUUGGAGAUCAGGAGCCAUAUGUGAAACAACCAAAGCUGACAUUGUGAUGUUAGUCGACAGCUCUGGGAGUGUUUCUCCUGAUGACUUUGCAUCUGUUGAAAUGUUCUUAACUGAAAUAGUUAAAAACGUUCAUAUUGAUCCCAACGGUGUCCAGAUCGGUAUAACUUUUUUU